rnacentral:lncRNA from 1 species
AUUCGACAUGUCCUCGGGGUUUUGUCCUCGGGAUUAUGACCUACGACAGCGCCUUAUCCAACGAGAGAUUUAUUCUGACUAAAAAUCCUCAAUUCAUGUCUCCUAUGCCUAGAAGAACUCUAUUGGUAUCACAGUUAUACCUCAAUUCAAACUCCUAUCUCGCGUAGGACUCAUUGGUGUAAGAUUGCAAAAUCAAGCUAUCCUACUACAGGUGCAACACGGAAUCCUAAUAUGAACACACCACCUACCUCUAUAAAUACAGAACCUUAGGCCAUUAUUCAGGUACGUUUUUUCAUUGUUCCUCAGCACAUAGCCUCACGCAUAUAUUUCCCUUUCUGACUUAAGCAUCGGAGGGGCGACGAGAACACACCUCGUUGCCUUUGUUUCAGGUAUCGGAAGAUCACGUUCGUGCUCCUCACCAGUCAUCAAGCUCGGGAAAUCUACAGGUACGAUUUUUGGUAGCAUCAUUGACGCCG